CAGCCGUAAACAAUGUGCGUUAGAUGUGUCGGUAACCACGUGUUACUGAUGCGCCGAAGAGAAAUCGUGAAACGCACCACCUGGGAAGUACGGUCGCAAGGCUGAAACUUAAAGGAAUUGGCGGGGGAGCACCACAACAGGUGGAGCCUGCGGUUUAAUUGGACUCAACGCCGGGAAGCUCACCGGAUAGGACAGCAGAAUGAUUGCCGGGCUGAAGACCCUGCAUGACUAGCUGAGAGGUGGUGCAUGGCGUAGACGUCU
rnacentral:rRNA from 1 species